AUUUCCUUCCCUUUUAAAGUUGAGUAAUAUUCCACUGGGUAGAUCACAUUUUGUUGAUCUGUUCAUCCUGUGAUGGACAUUUGGUUCUUUCCACCUCAUCUUUAAGAGGGAAAUGACAUGAUCUUACUGUGUGGUCAGAGCACUGAGGCUGGUCGGAAAGGAGGCAGACUUGGGAGGACUGUGAGUUCCCGACAGAGGUGCAGCAAGACAGGUGCAGUCUGUAGGGAGGAAAGGGCUGGACUCAGCACAGUUUGGUGACAUUCUUCAUCCACUGGAAUGAAAGGGAGGGGACAGGAACCCAGGGUCUUAGUUUGGGAAAUUGGGAGGAGACAGAGAAGAAGGAGCAGAAGGAGGAGGAGAGAAGGAUAGUGAAGGAAAGCGGUUUUGCUUUUCUUUGGGGAUGGGGUGGAGCAGGGAAGAUAAUGCUGGAAUUGAGACAUCUUUAGGACAUCCAGUGGGCAAUGCUUGAGGAUAGGAGUGAAAAUGGAGUAAGGUGACCCCAUAAUUAUAAAAGGGACCAACAGAUACAGUGGAAGAGAAAUGUCCUCCUUUCUCCUCUCACCCAGAACUCUCUGCCAAGCCCUGCGGGUUCUUAGCUGGACAUAUGGUGCCCUCUCGUGGUCAUUAGAUGCAGCUGCAACUGAGCCUGCACCCUAGGGCAGAAAUGGCCUUCUGGCACGCUGAAAGCUGCAGUUGCGGCCAUUAGCCUAAGAAGAAACUCUGACCUUCACGAUGGAUUUUAAGAUCUGCACGUAAGGACUGGGUACUCAAAGGUCCAGAGAAGCUAACUGCCCCCUCGACACGCGCCGAGAGCCUAGGAGGCACUGUGGGACAGCAGGGGAGAAACAGGAGACCAAUAAUGGGAGGUUCACGCCUAACUUAGAGGAGUCCUAUGCUUUUGGUAUAAAUAUUAUUGUUUAUUGGAAAGCAUUCACAUAGAGGGAGCCUCCUAAACACAAGGCGGUGAGGGCUCCUUCAUCCCUGCGGUCCUUUGAGGGUGGCAAGGCCAACAUCGUGAUUCUAUCAUCUUUCUCCACCAGGCCCCUUCCGCAGCCCCGGCUCUUUCUGAGAAGUAACCCUGCCUCCCAAUCACACCUUUUUUCCAGGCCUGGGAUUUAACACUGAGCAGGCCUGGCCGCUUAUGAGUGUUGGGAAUCUGAGCAGAGCUCCCAGGAGCUCUGGUUCCCCACCCCCACCCCCCAACCAAUUAGGAAAAGUGCUGUGUCCAUCCUGACCUCUGGUAUGUGAGUUUUGACGUGCCCAGAGCUGGCUGCACGGCCUGGGGAUUUGGAAGAGAAGAAAGAAGGGGAAGAAGGCAGCACAACAGAACCCAGGGAGGUGGGCUCGACUGAGCUUUGCUCAUGAAUCCUGAGCACUCUCCCCUGUCCUGUUAGGCACAACAAACCACAAUCUUUUUCCUGAUGGGGAGGGGCCUCCCAUGGCUUUGAGUAAAUGCUGGCCUGGUUCUCAGAGCUCCAGGUCUUCCACUGAGUUCUCUGCACAGAUGCAGCCCAAGCAGCCGUUCCUCCUUCCUCUCCUCCCUCCGCUCUCCUGGGGCACAGCAUCCUCUCACCCAUUGCUCCAGCCACGUGGGCACAGACCCACGCUCAGAACUCAACCUCCUGAUCUUGUCAGAGGGUUUGCAGGCUGGGUCAGGGCAGGUAAGGAGAGGAUACUAAAAGGAAAUAGCCUCGAUAUGUCUGAUGAUGAACCAUAAGGUCUGAUUGGCUGGAACUGCAAGUUCUAGCCUCGUUCAGCCAAAUGGAAAAGGGCAUUAGCAGAGAAGGUGUUUCAGCCCUAUAUCCAGUUGGUGUCUCCUGCCUAACUCGGAGCAUGCCAUCCCUUCACUCCAGCGGGUGAGCUAGCCCCAGAAGAGUCCUCCGGAGAGGGGUGAAGUGGUACUUAGGGACUGAGGAACUGCUGAGAAGGAGAUAGCUUGUGGCAAUGAGGCCCUCUUGGGGUGGGACAUCCUCAAACUGCACUUGACGAUGGUCCCACCUGCUGGAGAAUCCGUUGGUGGUCUUUGCUGGGUGGGCAGGAGGUGGCUGUGGCAGGACCACACUUGGCUCUCUGGACCCCUCCUUCCUCCCUGCAGUGCCCAGUCACUGCCGAUGCCCACGCCCCGCCCUCGGGUUGCUUCCCUUUGUCAGCAUCUUGCCACCCUUAUAUCUUGGCUGUCUCAUACCCAACUGGUCAGGAGCAAUCUUUUGCCUCUUCUUGGUAAGCUAUCUUAGGUUUCCCCUGAAAUCUGAACCCCUCCAGGAGGUUUCUCUGGGUUUAUCAGCAGCUCUGUGCCCUCUCCUUGUCCCCACACUUGGCCAGGACUCAGGUCUUCUGAGGUUUCUUCCCCCUUGUCCAGCCCGGCCCAUGGCUCCUGCCGUAGGUGGGGUGGGUCUCACAUUCCAGUUGGCCUCAGCCCUGGCCUAUUCACAUGGACCCUGGGUCUCCUCCUUGAUCUAAAUAUUUCUUCCUAUCACAUGUUAUGCUUUGUUCCAGUCUCAUAAUGUGUUGCAAUAUCAAUUGCUACAUUUUUACCCUUUUGACUAGUUGGAUUUUCUUUGUAGCCCUCCUAUUGGUCAGACUGGGCUUUUUUUUUUUUUUGCACUGGGGAGGUGGGUGGGGGUGUGUGGUAUCACAUAGACUAAAAAAGCUACCUCUUGGCAUUGAUUUUCAAAUUGGAUCAAAGUAUUAAAAAAAAAAAGGGAGAAUGGCUCUUAAUUUUAGGUUAGGUCAAGAAGGAGAGGUAAGCAAGUGGGCUCAGAAUUCUGCAGACAGGGAAGGAUGUGUCUAAGGCGCUCAGCUUGGAGGACUGACUCAGUAGGAAGUAGGAGGCUGAGGCCGGGCUGUGAGGGCAGGUCCUGCCUGGGCAGGCGAAGCCUGGUAAUAAGAUCAGAUUACAUAAUGGGUUUUUUGCAAGGCUGGUUGGCUGUGAGUCGGCUCAGCACUCGGCAUUCAAGUCUUCCCUCUCAAAUCCACCACCCGGAAUCCACCGCCAUCCCCUGGGCCUGGC